UUUGUGUAUUUAAAGAAAACAUUUUUGGACAACUUUCUGAGUCUUCAGCAUUCUCUCUGGUAUUGAACUGUUUGAUUUUUCAGGUUUAUACAACCCCCGGAAGUACAGAGAAAAGAGCAUACACAGUGUGGAAUCUCGAAUCUCGAUAGCCUCUUAAGAGGACGUAAAAGCAACUCUGAUCUUGGGAGGCUGGAAUUUCAACAAUUCUAGGUCACGAUUUUCAAACAAUGUCGAAGGUAAUGGAUAGCAGCGUCUAGAAAUUCCCACUGUACAACUGAGAAGUGCUCCUUUGUUGCCCUCCUUCUCCAGACACUACAUGUCAAUAGUCCGAACAAAAAGUUUUAAUAUAAGUAACUGCUAAGGAGGGAUUGUCGUUGAGAAAGGCAUUUAAAAGACCAAUCCAGAGCUUUCUGCAAUCUGCCUUCAAAAUGUUUUUUUCACAGCAGACCAUCAAGUUUUACAACCGAUAGAAACAGAAUCCUUAGUAAACUGUGCCCAGCCCAAAACCUACCAAAUCAGACUGAUUAAAGCUGCUCAUAUCUGCUAUAGCAUCAAUUAAAAAUCAAUGUUAUAGCUGAAUACAGCGACGACUCCGAACUAAUCGAUGAAGAUGCGAUGCUGGUCGCUUCUUGUAUUAAAAAUAAUCUGAGACAAACAAUGUUAUUACUAUAAUAUUGUAGCAUAACGA